ensembl:lncRNA
AUGGUCUCCAGCAGACAAGCGCCUGGAAUGAGGCCCAGUGAAAGAUCUGAAGCAGAAAUGGUGUCAUUAGGAGAAGAAGAGAAGAACAAGUCCGGCGAGGAGGCAGCAGCUCUUAAAGAUGAAACACAGCAACUUAGCCCUGAGCUCAGAGAGCUUCACAUGAAAAAGCUCCUCAAGCAGAUCAUGUCAGAGGUUUGUCAUCAACAGGAGGAACUGUUCAUAUCAUAGAAUGAAGGAUGCUGUCAGCUGGAUGAAGAAGGUUAUUUAAUGGCAAACGUUCACAUUGAAGUCAAAUUGUUGUGGUGUUGAACAGAUUCAUGGACUGAUUGUCUCCAGAAUGUUAGAAGAGCUUCAAUGAAUCAUUAGAAACAACUUACAGCUGCACAGUUGUGUCAAACACAUCUUUGUGUCAUUGUGGGAUUUUUGUGUUUCUACAUGUGACACACGUCUAAAACAUGCACACAAUUUGAAGACAAACAGGGAUCAUUUGUUCCCACAGCCAGAUGCUGAGAGCCAUUUCCUUGUAGUCCUGUGUCUAUAUAUAUGUACCAUUAGAUGUUAUUGGAAUGAUUGUCAGCUUUGAUAGUUUCAUGUAUGUUUAGCUGGACGGCUGUUUGAUCCUCCACAUGUUUAAAGGUGUCCAGUCCUGAGACACUGGGGGUGGAAACAGCUGUGAUGUCAUUGGACUGUCACAAAGACAGAAGUGCAUGAAGUGAGCAGCCAAGGAGCCGCUGAUGUUUUGGAUUCAACAGCAUUUGAAAGGUUGACACAGACACAUUUGCACAUAGAAAGCUGAAUUUGUCAUAUGCCACAGUGAACUCACUGUUCAGUGUUUUUCAGGAAGCUUCUUAACUGCCUCUGCUGCCAAACAAGCAGCUGAUGUCCUUGAGAAGAAGCUGAAGAAGUCUUCAACAACAAAUACAGGAAGUGGACUUUCAAAUACUAGAUUCACUUUAGACUCACACAAGAAAUGACUCAACUAGCUGUGUUUGAUUGACUCCUUUGACUCUAUGAAAGCUCAGUGUGUGUCUGUACACAGACUGUUGUGUUGGACUAUUAUUCAGUUGUUUUCAAAUGUCUGCAUCUCAGUGUAGAUGAGGCUGGGGGUCAUGGGAGGCCACCAUAGCAGUCUCUUCAACAUCAUGACAUCAUCAUAAAUGCUGCUGGACUGUCUGAUGGGCUGACGGUGAAAAAGCCGUCGGGAAGGAAACAGAAGACAUUUCAGAGGCUGCAGCAGAUUUCUUUGAUUUGGGGCCUUUUUCAGCUUUAUUGGACAGAGCAGUGAAGAUAAGUGACAGCAAAGCAGAGGGAGAGAGAAAGGGGGCGUGGUCAGAAUCAAAGCCAGGCCAGCUGCUCUCCACCUCGUGGCACAUGGUCACCUGCUCAUCCUAGUGAGCUCCACCAGCAGCCCUUUCACACAGUUUACACUGUCAAACACUGUGUGUGGACCUCAGCUAACAAUAGGCUACAUUUAAGUCUGGACUACAUGCUUUUAUAUUGAGGCAGAUUUUUACCUGUUUUUAUUCCAUCAGCAGCUCAACAUCAUGAGCAGCUUUGACAUAAAGACAUCAAACUCAAGCUGACUUUAAACUGGAUCUACUUUUAAUACAGGGGCUCAAAAACAACUAACAUCUUUAUUAUAUAUCAGGACAGAAAGUCAUUUCAUCUCAAAUGGAAAACAGCUUUAUUUGGAAUAAUCAGCACUAUCAACUGGUUUGGGAUCUCCACCAGUUUCAUGUCUUUCCAGCUUCUCCAACAAAGUUCCUGUAAAAUCAGCAUCUUUAUUGGUUUGUGGUUUAUUGGUUUGCCCUUAAAUCUCCCUGCUGGGAGGGCUUAAGAUGGGUCAGUGACACCAAACUUGGCCCUGAUUUGCCUGUGGGAAAAAACUGUUCUCCCUCCUCUUCAUCCUUGACUGCCCGAACAAGAC